rnacentral:rRNA from 1 species
GACGAACGCUGGCGGCGUGCUUAACACAUGCAAGUCGAACGGAAAGGCCCUGCUUUUGUGGGGUGCUCGAGUGGCGAACGGGUGAGUAACACGUGAGUAACCUGCCCUUGACUUUGGGAUAACUUCAGGAAACUGGGGCUAAUACCGGAUAGGAGCUCCUGCUGCAUGGUGGGGGUUGGAAAGUUUCGGCGGUUGGGGAGGGACUCGCGGCUUAUCAGCUUGGUGGUGGGGUAGUGGCUUACCAAGGCUUUGACGGGUAGCCGGCCUGAGAGGGUGACCGGCCAAAUUGGGACUGAGAUCAGGCCCAGACUCCUACGGGAGGCAGCAGUGGGGAAUAUUGCACUAUGGGCGGAAGCCUGAUGCAGCAACGCCGCGUGCGGGAUGACGGCCUUCGGGUUGUAAACCGCUUUCGCCUGUGACGAAGCGUGAGUGACGGUAAUGGGUAAAGAAGCACCGGCUAACUACGUG